rnacentral:lncRNA from 1 species
CCAUUUCCCCAAUCCCACACCAGGAAACAUGACUUCAGACAGGAUCCCAGAAGUUUUCAGGUGGCAGUUGAACAGGAGCCCAGCUGCAGUGGGGGAUCUGGGAGGCAGAAGAAGCUAGAAGUGAAGACUACUCACUUCCAACCUCAAUGUGGACAGGAGCGCUGUCUGAGCCUACUCAUAGUCUCAUUUACCCCUGCAAAAGAAGUAACAUACGGAACCCUGUGAAUUAGGCUGACUUCAUCCUGGAAUCACAGCGGGGCUUAAGGUCCCAGACCGCCAGCAGUAUGGAGAAUGGAGCCAGUAGUGGUGAUUUCUCCAUUUUUGCCUCUUCGUGAGCCUCACCAGCCCAGGCAUGAUGCUCUUUUCCACGUCCUAGGACUUCCCACUCUGACACAGGUCACCCAGUUCAGGAACCUACUCCUCCACACAUCCAUCGGGGGCUCUGUCAACAGCCCCCGAAGCAGGUGCAGACCUGGAAGACUCCGUUUCAUGCUCUGGCACUUCGGCUCCACACUUAUUUUCUACCUUGCUGCUGCAGCUACUGUUCUCCCUUGUGCUCUCUGAAACCACUGCUGACAGAUCCUGAGUGGCCCCUGGCAAACAGGCAGAUGAUGGUCAAAGGAAGAAGUAUUCUUUUCAGAGCUGGACCGGUUUUAUCCAGUGACAUCAUCUCUGGACGUCUCCCGUUGCCUGGGCCGGCAUGAUAUUCUAAUACCUGCACCUCAUCUCUUGGGAAGCAGUGAAGAGUU